rnacentral:rRNA from 1 species
UACAGAGGGUGCAAGCGUUGUUCGGAUUUACUGGGCGUAAAGCGCACGUAGACGGUAUGAAAGGUCGGACGUGAAAGCCCCAGGCUCAACCUGGGAACUGCGUUCGAAACCAUCAUGCUAGAGUAUGGGAGAGGGAGGCGGAAUUCCUGGUGUAGAGGUGAAAUUCGUAGAUAUCAGGAGGAACACCUGCGGCGAAGGCGGCUUCCUGGCCCAUAACUGACGUUCAGGUGCGAAAGCACGGGGAGCAAACAGG